rnacentral:rRNA from 1 species
UGGGGAAUAUUGGACAAUGGGCGAAAGCCUGAUCCAGCCAUGCCGCGUGUGGGAAGAAGGCCUUUUGGUUGUAAAGCGCUUUAAUCGAGGAGGAGGCUACUUAGAUUAAUACUCUAGGAUAGUGGACGUUACUCGCAGAAUAAGCACCGGCUAACUCUGUGCCAGCAGCCGUGGUAAUACAGCGGGGGCGAGCGUUAAUCGGAUUUACUGGGCGUAAAGCGUGCGUAGGCGGCUUUUUAAGUCGGAUGUGAAAUCCAUGAGCUUAACUUAGGAAUUGCAUUCGAUACUGGGAAGCUAGAGUAUGGGAGAGGAUGGUAGAAUUCCAGGUGUAGCGGUGAAAUGCGUAGAGAUCUGGAGGAAUACCGGUGGCGAAGGCAGCCAUCUGGCCUAAUACUGACGCUGAGGUACGAAAGCGUGGGGAGCAAACAGG